UAACGAAUCUUCCGCAAUGGGCGAAAGCCUGACGGAGCGACGCCGCGUGUGGGAUGAAGAUCUUCGGAUUGUAAACCACUGUCAGGGAUUACCAAGCGAUGGGGACGAAUAGUCCCCGGAGUUGAGGACUCCCAGAGGAAGCCACGGCUAACUUCGUGCCAGCAGCCGCGGUAAGACGAAGGUGGCAAGCGUUGUUCGGAAUCACUGGGCUUAACGAGCAUGUAGGCGGCUCAUCAAGCGUCUUGUGAAAUCCCUCGGCUCAACCGAGGAAUUGCUGGGCGAACUGAUUGGGCGUGAGGCAGGUAGGGGCGCGUGGAACUCUUGGUGGAGCGGUGGAAUGCGUAGAUAUCAAGAGGAACGCCAGAGGCGAAAGCGAUGCGCUGGGCCUGUCCUGACGCUGAGAUGCGAAAGCGUGGGUAGCAAACA
rnacentral:rRNA from 1 species